CUCGUUGCUUCAACUAGAUGUUGAAGAUGUCCGUGCUCAUUGCAGGGGGGUUGGACUAGAUGACCUUUAAAGGUCCCUUCCAACCCAAACUAUUC